AUGACUCACUGCAAAAAUGUGAAAUAGCACUUUCUUCACUCUCCUCAGAGUUCAUCCAGAAGAUGUCUAACUGGAGCGAGAGACAGACAUCUCAGUCCUGGGGUGUCCUCCCACUCCUGGCAUCUGUAUCGCCUCCAGCAUCCAAGCUGGUCUAGGGUCAGGUCCUCUAAUGCCAUCCAUGGGAAAGUUCAGUGCUAUACUGUCAACACCUGAUGCUUUUUAAAUGCUGGGGUCCAAGAGGACUCUAACUGAGGAGUGAGAGAAAGACUGUUUGAGGUGCUACACACACAGCCUUCACAGUGACUCAUAUAUCACAGACAUGUUCAACAACGUGGAUCAUUUGUACCCUAGAACAUUCCUUUGGGGAGGAGUCCUAGGUCUGUUUGGAAGAUGCCUUUGAGCACUCAUGGCUGGGAUAAACUGGAGUCACAGUGUCUGAGAUAUAAUUGACAGGAGAAAGAAGAGUUGGGAGGAGCUGUUACAACAAAGAAUCCAUUGGAGGACCCUGAGAGUUCGAAAUGUAGUGGCUCUUCAUUGGCUGAGCUGUGAUAAUCUCUCAUUGACUGAGCUUUUGCCAGGGUGACGUCCAGACAAGAGUAUGAGAAUCCUUAGUUGCCACACGAAUGCCUCAUUGGAAUGAAGAACAUGAGAUUUCAUUUGUGAGGAGGAACCCAAGAAGAGCGAUCAUUCUCUUCUAACAGCUUAUAAAGAUGUGAAUAGAAUUGUUUUUGUUUUCACUUCUUUCCUCAGGACUCUCUCAACAGUCCUAAUAGGAGACUGUGGUAAGCAACACAGUCCCCGCUGUACGGGAACAGAAUUUACUGCCCUAUAAUAUGUCUCUCUGGCAUAUUAGUUGUUUUUUGUUUUGUUUUGUUUACUACAGCAAACACUUUUAAUAAGAACACAAAAUUUGCACAACAGGCAUGUUCUGGGGAAUGUAAACGAACUAUCACAAGUAGUAAUUCUGCUGGAAGAAUAAAAUAAGGCUCUCUCAGAGUACAAAUGUACAGGAGGGAAUGAUUUAAAAUAGGUUCAUGAUUUAUAGUCACAUUAUACUGUGUUAAACACUGAAAACAAGCAUAUUAAUUAAAAAGCCAGCUAAAUGCCAAUUGAACACAUAUACAAAUGUUAGUCCACAAAGUUCAUGUUAACAGUUUUAAGUACUUCAUUUCAACACAAAAGAAAUGAACAAGUGAAGGGAUACAUG
ensembl:lncRNA